rnacentral:rRNA from 1 species
ACAGGGAUUGCCCUAGUAACGGCGAGUGAAGCGGCAACAGCUCAAAUUUGAAAUCUGGCGUCUUUGGCGUCCGAGUUGUAAUUUGCAGAGGGCGCUUUGGUAUUGGCAGCGGUCCAAGUUCCUUGGAACAGGACGUCACAGAGGGUGAGAAUCCCGUACGUGGUCGCUAACCUUUACCGUGUAAAGCCCCUUCGACGAGUCGAGUUGUUUGGGAAUGCAGCUCUAAAUGGGAGGUAAAUUUCUUCUAAAGCUAAAUACUGGCCAGAGACCGAUAGCGCACAAGUAGAGUGAUCGAAAGAUGAAAAGCACUUUGGAAAGAGAGUUAAAAAGCACGUGAAAUUGUUGAAAGGGAAGCGCUUGCAGCCAGACUUGCCUGUAGUUGCUCAUCCGGGUUUUUACCCGGUGCACUCUUCUAUAGGCAGGCCAGCAUCAGUUUGGGCGGUUGGAUAAAGGUCUCUGUCAUGUACCUCUCUUCGGGGAGAACUUAUAGGGGAGACGACAUGCAACCAGCCUGGACUGAGGUCCGCGCAUCUGCUAGGAUGCUGGCGUAAUGGCUGUAAGCGGCCCGUCUUGAAACACGGACCAAGGAGUCUAACAUCUAUGCGAGUGUUUGGGUGUCAAGCCCGAGCGCGUAAUGAAAGUGAACGGAGGUGGGAACCUUUCGGGGUGCACCAUCGACCGAUCCUGAUGUCUUCGGAUGGAUUUGAGUAAGAGCAUAGCUGUUGGGACCCGAAAGAUGGUGAACUAUGCUUGAAUAGGGUGAAGCCAGAGGAAACUCUGGUGGAGGCUCGCAGCGGUUCUGACGUGCAAAUCGAUCGUCAAAUUUGGGCAUAGGGGCGAAAGACUAAUCGA